AAAAAUUUUUGCAAAUUGGAUGGAAAUGAUAUCAAUCUCUUGGUUUACCCUCAGGGAUCCUCUCAAAUGGUGUUCGUAAUGAUGCUUGUUCCUGAAUCCACUGGUGCAAUCUUAUCGCUGGGAUCUUUCCUAGUAAAUAGUGCAUAUCCUAGGUGCAUAAAUGAAAAUUUUGAUUUGUUUAUUGGUUGGCUUAUAGAGUUGAAAUUGAACCAAAGGCCUUCCCCCGUUAUUUCCUUAGUUCUGUCACUGACAGGGUGCCAUGUGUUAUUCAAGUUAACCUGAUUAAUGGAUGAUGAUCAAAUGCAUCAACACAUCGAACUGUCUUGUCAUAUAAGAUCUUGCAUAAGCAUACUACCGGUUUACCUGCCCAGGCCACCAAAUAUAUGUCCAAACUGGUAAUUUAAUAUGUUUUCUGUCUUUGAUGGUUCAAUGCUCACUAAAAAGUGCUUCUCUAUAGAUUCAUAAUCAAACCAUGUGAAAUGUGAAAUUCAAUUUGAACAACACACCCCAAACUGUAUGUAUAAAACAUUUGCA
rnacentral:misc_RNA from 1 species